AUUGAACGCUGGCGGCAUGCUUUACGCAUGCAAGUCGAACGGCAGCACGAGUGCUUGCACUUGGUGGCGAGUGGCGGACGGGUGAGUAAUACAUCGGAACGUGUCCUUAAGUGGGGGAUAACGCAUCGAAAGAUGUGCUAAUACCGCAUAAUAUCUGAGGAAGAAAGUGGGGGAUCGAAAGACCUCAUGCUUUUGGAGCGGCCGAUGUCUGAUUAGCUAGUUGGUGAGGUAAUGGCUUACCAAGGCAACGAUCAGUAGUUGGUCUGAGAGGACGACCAGCCACACUGGGACUGAGACACGGCCCAGACUCCUACGGGAGGCAGCAGUGGGGAAUUUUGGACAAUGGGCGCAAGCCUGAUCCAAGCGGAUGCCGCGUGAGUGAAGAAGGCCUUCAGGGUUGCUCAUACAUCUAUUAUUUAUG
rnacentral:rRNA from 1 species